UGGGGAAUAUUGGACAAUGGGCGCAAGCCUGAUCCAGCCAUGCCGCGUGAGUGAUGAAGGCCCUAGGGUUGUAAAGCUCUUUCACCGGUGAAGAUAAUGACGGUAACCGGAGAAGAAGCCCCGGCUAACUUCGUGCCAGCAGCCGCGGUAAUACGAAGGGGGCUAGCGUUGUUCGGAUUUACUGGGCGUAAAGCGCACGUAGGCGGACUAUUAAGUCAGGGGUGAAAUCCCGGGGCUCAACCCCGGAACUGCCUUUGAUACUGGUAGUCUUGAGUUCGAGAGAGGGGAGUGGAAUUCCGAGUGUAGAGGUGAAAUUCGUAGAUAUUCGGAGGAACACCAGUGGCGAAGGCGGCUCACUGGCACGAUACUGACGCUGAGGUGCGAAAGCGUGGGGAGCAAACAGG
rnacentral:rRNA from 1 species